GUAUUCUCUUUCAACAGUACAUAUACUAAAACUGAAGGGACACAGAGAAGAUCAGCAUGGACUACGCAUAAGAAUAACAGCAAAUUCAUGAAGCAAGAAGGGUAUAU
ensembl:snRNA U6 U6 spliceosomal RNA